UACGUAGGGUGCAAGCGUUGUCCGGAAUUAUUGGGCGUAAAGCGUGCGCAGGCGGUUUUGUAAGUUUGUCGUGAAAGCCCCGGGCUCAACCUGGGAAUUGCGAUGAAGACUGCAAGGCUUGAAUCUGGCAGAGGGGGUAGAAUUCCGACGUGUAGCAGUGAAAUGCGUAGAGAUGUGGAGGGACACCGAUGGCGAAGGCAGCCCCUGGUCAAGAUUGACGCUCGAUGCACGAAGCGUGGGAGCAAACAGG
rnacentral:rRNA from 1 species